rnacentral:lncRNA from 1 species
UCCGGAAUCCCGGACCCCGCCCCUGCACCGGCGUCAUCCGCCAUUUGGUGUUUUCUCGGAGUAGAACUUCCCGGCCUAUUUAUACAAUCUCUUUCCAGGUGAUAUGUACAAAAGUAAUACAAACAGCACUCAGUGGAAGGUCUUUGUAGAUACUUCUCACAAUCAAUCUGGACUAAAGUCCCAUGCCUAAGUUCUUACCGAGGAAGGAGACAAAGCCAGCCCAGAUCUUCAGUAGAAGCAGACGGUGUGAAGAAAGCUUUUUCCUGCCUUCUCCUCCAUUUGCAACAGCAGCUCCUCCAGACUGUCUUCCAUGUCGUCGGACUGCUGCAGGCACUGGCAAAUCUCACAGAUGAGGAAAGCUCCCAGGAUGGCACCUUCCAGGGUAUCUUUGAUGUCCAUGUUGAUCACGUGCACAGGCUGAAAGGUCUGCUGUUCUCUGGAACACAGAUCUUCCACCACUGUGUCAUAGACACGCUCCUCACAGGUAAAGAUGACAUCAAAGAAUUCAGUGCAUUCCUGAAAUCUUUCUGGGCCAGGCUUGAUUCUCUCAUUUCUUCCCAAGAUGUGUAAGAUUCCAUUGUGGGUGUAGCAUUCUCUAUCUUUCCUGAGGAGGUCAUUGUACAUCUCCUUAUAUGUUGUUGCAAAAUCGUAAACUACAGGAUGAUUGGGUCUUCGUCCUGGUAGCCUCACAUGAGAUUCAGUUCCGAAAGACCGGACACUUAGCCCUUUUCUCCUGAGGAUGCUGUGGGCCUCCAUGCUCCUGUUGAUGUUGCUCACACACACCACAGCCACCCUGAGUGGGGAGGAGAGCAUGAUGGUGGCCACUGGGAACAAGAGAGACACAGGCACCUCAGCUGCUGCAGGGACUCUGAGCCAAGGAGACGACCACCUAUACCCAGGUCUUCCAAAUGAGCUAAUGUGGAGGCACAGGAGGCAGGUUUAUAUUGAGUCACCUUAAUUAGUGGGUGGAGACUUCCUGACUUCUGGAUUGAUUAGGUUGUGAUAAUGGAUUCCUAACUCCUGACAAGAACAAUCAAGAUGAUUAAAUUACCUAAAGCAGUAACUGUCAACAAAGGUGGCACCACCCAGUCGGGAUUCAUUUAAAAUCUGGAGUUUGCUCUGGUGGUUCUCCCAGUGAAUGGGGGCUGCUAUUGAGAAUGGCCAAGACAAUUAAGCUACCUGCAAGCAUGUCAUAGGACUCUCCAGUGACCUUCAGACAUGAAAGCGGAUGAUAAACAUGCUGACAAUUUCCAAGGCUGUACCCUAUUUAAUUAUAAAUUACAAGUAUUGUUGCUUGUUUUAAUUUUCAUAAUGUUUGAGAAAUGCAAUUGCAUAAAUCACAGGAGCAUUGUAUAUAGUUUUGUCCAGAAAUUCACAAAAUUUUUCACCAAUACAAAAAAAAUCCCAUUCUGAACAACAUAUCUGCUUACGGUAUUUUAAGAGUUAUUCAACACAGCAUUUUCUGCAUUUGAUAUUACUGAAAUCAUAAUGAUUCUUCAGGGAAUGCAGGAAUUGAUGCAAUCCUCUGCCUCCAAGUACAGCUGUGUUUGAGCUUUUCUAUACUUAAAUGCAAUGUUUAGAAUUUUUUAGUAGUUGUGUAAUUUAUUAAGAAAAUAAAAGAGAUUUUAAAAUUAUGAAUGGGGUUUCAAAAAAUAAGAUAAUCAUGUCACUUUAUAAUCAACCACUUUUGGAUUGAUUAGAUUAUGAUAAUGGACUGCUAGCUAAUUACAAGAACAAUCAAAAUGAUUAAAUUCCUAAUCCAGUAACUCUCCGCAAAGGUGGCCCCACCCAGUCAGGAUUGAUUUAUAGGUGAGCUCUGUUGGCUGUCACUCACUGAUUUACCAAAUAUUGGGUAAAGAAUCUUUUUUUUUUUUUUUUUUUUGAGAGUCUUGCUCUGUCACCUAGGCUGGAGUACAGUGGCACAAUAUCGACUCACUGCAACUUCUACCUCCCAGGUUCAAGGGAUUCUCCUGCCUCAGCCUCUCAAGUAGCUGAAGACUACAGGCAUGCGGCACCACACCCAGUUAAUGUUUGUAUUUUUAGUAGAGAUGGGGUUUCACCAUGUUGGUCAGGCUGGUCUUGAACUUCUGACCUCAAGUGAUCUGCCCGCCUCAGCCUCCCAAAGUGCUGAGAUUACUGGUAUGAGCCACCUCACCUGGCCCAAUUUUACUUGUUUUUAUUAAUCUUUCUUAAAUGUACAUAUAGCUCACAUGUAUUUCAAUAUAAAUCAGAUCAGGGACAUCACUUUUGUCCUUGGUGCAGGGACAAAAUCUAUAAAGCAACAUGUUGUAUUUUUCUAUGUCCCUCUUAAGGUGAUGUUUUUUUAAAUUUUAUUAAUAUUAUACUUUAAGUUUUAGGGUACAUGUGCACAACGUGCAGGUUUCUUACAUGUGUAUACAUGUGCCAUGUUAUUGUGCUGCACCAAUUAACUCGUCAUUUAACAUUAGGUAUCUCUCCUAAUGCUAUCCCUCCCCCCUCCCCCGACCCCGCAACAGUCCCUGGUGUGUGAUGUUCCCCUUCCUGUGUCCAUGUGUUCUCAUUGUUCAAUUCCCACCUAUGAGUGAGAACAUGCAGUGUUUGGUAUUUUGUCCUCGCAAUAGUUUGCUGAGAAUGAUGGUUUCCAGCUUCAUCCAUGUCCCUACAAAGGACAUGAACUAAUCAUUUUUUAUGGCUGCAUAAUAUUCCAUGGUGUAUAUAUGCCACAUUUUCUUAAUCCAGUCUAUCAUUGUUGGACAUUUGGGUUGGUUCCAAGUCUUUGCUAUUGUGAAUAGUGCCAC